rnacentral:rRNA from 1 species
CCUACGGGUGGCUGCAGUCGAGAAUCAUUCACAAUGGGGGAAACCCUGAUGGUGCGACGCCGCGUGGGGGAAUGAAGGUCUUCGGAUUGUAAACCCCUGUCAUGUGGGAGCAAAUUAAAAAGAUAGUACCACAAGAGGAAGAGACGGCUAACUCUGUGCCAGCAGCCGCGGUAAUACAGAGGUCUCAAGCGUUGUUCGGAAUCACUGGGCGUAGAGCGUGCGUAGGCUGUUUCGUAAGUCGUGUGUGAAAGGCGCGGGCUCAACCCGCGGACGGCACAUGAGACUGCGAGACUAGAGUAAGGGAGCGGGAACCGGAAGUCUCGGUGUAGCAGUGAAAUGGGUAGAUAUCGAGAGGAACACUCGUGGCGAAGGCGGGUUCCUGGACAUUAACUGACGCUGAGGCACGAAGGCCAGGGGAGCGAAAGGGAUUAGAUACCCCUGUAGUC